AGCGAACGCUGGCGGCAGGCUUAACACAUGCAAGUCGAGCGGGCAUAGCAAUAUGUCAGCGGCAGACGGGUGAGUAACGCGUGGGAACGUACCUUUUGGUUCGGAACAACACAGGGAAACUUGUGCUAAUACCGGAUAAGCCCUUACGGGGAAAGAUUUAUCGCCGAAAGAUCGGCCCGCGUCUGAUUAGCUAGUUGGUGAGGUAAUGGCUCACCAAGGCGACGAUCAGUAGCUGGUCUGAGAGGAUGAUCAGCCACAUUGGGACUGAGACACGGCCCAAACUCCUACGGGAGGCAGCAGUGGGGAAUAUUGGACAAUGGGCGCAAGCCUGAUCCAGCCAUGCCGCGUGAGUGAUGAAGGCCCUAGGGUUGUAAAGCUCUGUCUUCAGGGACGAUAAUGACGGUACCUGAGGAGGAAGCCACGGCUAACUACGUGCCAGCCGCCGCGGUAA
rnacentral:rRNA from 1 species